rnacentral:rRNA from 1 species
UGCGCAGGCGGCCGUGUGUGUCAGGUGUGAAAUCCCGGGGCUCAACCCCGGAACUGCGCCUGAAACUACAUGGCUAGAGUAUUGGAGAGGGUAGCGGAAUUCACGGUGUAGCAGUGAAAUGCGUAGAUAUCGUGAGGAACACCAGAGGCGAAGGCGGCUACCUGGACAAUUACUGACGCUCAGGCACGAAAGCGUGGGGAGCAAAAGGGAUUAGAUACCCCUGUAGUCCACGCCCCAAACGGUGCACACUAGGUCUUGGCGGAUUCGACCCCCCCAGGGCCCAAGCUAACGCGUUAAGUGUGCCGCCUGAGGACUACGGCCGCAAGGCUAAA